rnacentral:lncRNA from 1 species
CGAUGUGGGUGCUUUUAGAUUACGUAACAUUAAGCAUCAAAACUUGGACUCGAUUGAUUUCGCCACACAACCUUUCACAUCACAAGAAAUUUACUAAACUAAUCAUAAUCCAUAGAAUGAACGUUCCUACAUUAUUUCGAGCACAAAUUAAAUCAUUAUUUAGAAUCCAAAAUGGCGGCGGCAGCCGGAGUGAACCACAGCGGCAGCGGCAGAAUCUUCCUUAUCUUCUCGUAUUCAAUCGGAUACAAAUCGCAGCAGGGAUAGAAAUCCUUCUUCUCGUAAUCAAAAACACCAUUNNN